rnacentral:rRNA from 1 species
UCCCAGACUCCUACGGGAGGCAGCAGUGGGGAAUAUUGGGCAAUGGGCGCAAGCCUGACCCAGCAAUGCCGCGUGAAGGAAGAAGGCUUUCGGGUUGUAAACUUCUUUGACAGGGGAAGAGCAGAAGACGGUACCCUGAAAACAAGCCACGGCUAACUACGUGCCAGCAGCCGCGGUAAUACGUAGGUGGCAAGCGUUGUCCGGAUUUACUGGGUGUAAAGGGCGUGUAGCCGGGAAGGCAAGUCAGAUGUGAAAUCCGGAGGCUCAACCUCCGAAUUGCAUUUGAAACUGUUUUUCUUGAGUACUGGAGAGGCAGACGGAAUUCCUUGUGUAGCGGUGAAAUGCGUAGAUAUACGGAGGAACACCAGUGGCGAAGGCGGAUUACUGGACAGUAACUGACGCUGAGGCGCGAAAGCGUGGGGAGCAAACAGGAUUAGAUACCCGAGUACGA